UUUUUUUUAAUCCAAA
rnacentral:sRNA from 1 species